CCCACAGUAUGUUCAGCGACGACAGCGA
rnacentral:sRNA from 1 species